rnacentral:rRNA from 1 species
AAAAAAGGUAAGCUACUAAGAGCGAAUGGUGGAUGCCUUGACUGGUAAAGGCGAUGAAGGACGUACUAGACUGCGAUAAGCUACGGGGAGCUGUCAAGAAGCUUUGAUCCGUAGAUUUCCGAAUGGGGCAACCCAAUGUAUAGAGAUAUACAUUACCUAUAUAGGAGCGAACGAGGGGAAUUGAAACAUCUUAGUACCCUCAGGAAAAGAAAUCAAUAGAGAUUGCGUCAGUAGCGGCGAGCGAAAGCGUAAGAGGGCAAACCCAGUGCUUGCACUGGGGGUUGUAGGACUGCAAUGUGCAAGAGGUGAGUUUAGCAGAACAUUCUGGAAAGUAUAGCCAUAGAGGGUGAUAGUCCCGUAUGCGAAAAACAAACCUUAGCUAGCAGUAUCCUGAGUAGGGCGGGACACGAGAAAUCCUGUCUGAAGCUGGGUCGACCACGAUCCAACCCUAAAUACUAAUACCAGAUCGAUAGUGCACAAGUACCGUGAGGGAAAGGUGAAAAGAACUGAGGUGAUCAGAGUGAAAUAGAACCUGAAACCAUUUGCUUACAAUCAUUCAGAGCCCUAUGUAGCAAUACAGGGUGAUGGACUGCCUUUUGCAUAAUGAGCCUGCGAGUUGUGGUGUCUGGCAAGGUUAAGCAAACGCGAAGCCGUAGCGAAAGCGAGUCUGAAUAGGGCGCUUAGUCAGAUGCUGCAGACCCGAAACGAAGUGAUCUAUCCAUGAGCAAGUUGAAGCUAGUGUAAGAACUAGUGGAGGACUGAACCCAUAGGCGUUGAAAAGCCCCGGGAUGACUUGUGGAUAGGGGUGAAAGGCCAAUCAAACUUCGUGAUAGCUGGUUCUCUCCGAAAUAUAUUUAGGUAUAGCGUUGUGUCGUAAUAUAAGGGGGUAGAGCACUGAAUGGGCUAGGGCAUACACCAAUGUACCAAACCCUAUCAAACUCCGAAUACCUUAUAUGUAAUCACAGCAGUCAGGCGGCGAGUGAUAAAAUCCGUCGUCAAGAGGGAAACAACCCAGACUACCAGCUAAGGUCCCUAAAUCUUACUUAAGUGGAAAACGAUGUGAAGUUACUUAAACAACCAGGAGGUUGGCUUAGAAGCAGCCAUCCUUUAAAGAAAGCGUAAUAGCUCACUGGUCUAGUGAUUUUGCGCGGAAAAUAUAACGGGGCUAAAGUAAGUACCGAAGCUGUAGACUUGAUUUUAUCAAGUGGUAGGAGAGCGUUCUAUUUGCGCCGAAGGUAUACCGGUAAGGAGUGCUGGAGCGAAUAGAAGUGAGCAUGCAGGCAUGAGUAGCGAUAAUUAAUGUGAGAAUCAUUAACGCCGUAAACCCAAGGUUUCCUACGCGAUGCUCGUCAUCGUAGGGUUAGUCGGGUCCUAAGUCGAGUCCGAAAGGGGUAGACGAUGGCAAAUUGGUUAAUAUUCCAAUACCAACAUUAGUGUGCGAUGGAAGGACGCUUAGGGCUAAGGGGGCUAGCGGAUGGAAGUGCUAGUCUAAGGUCGUAGGAGGUUAUACAGGCAAAUCCGUAUAACAAUACUCCGAGAACUGAAAGGCUUUUUGAAGUCUUCGGAUGGAUAGAAGAACCCCUGAUGCCGUCGAGCCAAGAAAAGUUUCUAAGUUUAGCUAAUGUUGCCCGUACCGUAAACCGACACAGGUGGGUGGGAUGAGUAUUCUAAGGCGCGUGGAAGAACUCUCUUUAAGGAACUCUGCAAAAUAGCACCGUAUCUUCGGUAUAAGGUGUGGUUCGCUUCGUAUUAGGAUUUACUCCGAAAGCGAAGAAACUUACAACAAAGAGUCCCUCCCGACUGUUUACCAAAAACACAGCACUCUGCUAACUCGUAAGAGGAUGUAUAGGGUGUGACGCCUGCCCGGUGCUCGAAGGUUAAUUGAUGGGGUUAGCAUUAGCGAAGCUCUUGAUCGAAGCCCGAGUAAACGGCGGCCGUAACUAUAACGGUCCUAAGGUAGCGAAAUUCCUUGUCGGUUAAAUACCGACCUGCAUGAAUGGCGUAACGAGAUGGGAGCUGUCUCAAAGAGGGAUCCAGUGAAAUUGUAGUGGAGGUGAAAAUUCCUCCUACCCGCGGCAAGACGGAAAGACCCCGUGGACCUUUACUACAGCUUGACACUGCUAUUUGGAUAAGAAUGUGCAGGAUAGGUGGGAGGCUUUGAGUAUAUGACGCCAGUUGUAUAUGAGCCAUUGUUGAGAUACCACUCUUUCUUAUUUGGGUAGCUAACCAGCUUGAGUUAUCCUCAAGUGGGACAAUGUCUGGUGGGUAGUUUGACUGGGGCGGUCGCCUCCCAAAUAAUAACGGAGGCUUACAAAGGUUGGCUCAGAACGGUUGGAAAUCGUUCGUAGAGUAUAAAGGUAUAAGCCAGCUUAACUGCAAGACAUACAAGUCAAGCAGAGACGAAAGUCGGUCUUAGUGAUCCGGUGGUUCUGUGUGGAAGGGCCAUCGCUCAAAGGAUAAAAGGUACCCCGGGGAUAACAGGCUGAUCUCCCCCAAGAGCUCACAUCGACGGGGAGGUUUGGCACCUCGAUGUCGGCUCAUCGCAUCCUGGGGCUGGAGCAGGUCCCAAGGGUAUGGCUGUUCGCCAUUUAAAGCGGUACGCGAGCUGGGUUCAGAACGUCGUGAGACAGUUCGGUCCCUAUCUGCCGUGGGCGUAAGAAGAUUGAAGAGAUUUGACCCUAGUACGAGAGGACCGGGUUGAACAAACCACUGGUGUAGCUGUUGUUCUGCCAAGAGCAUCGCAGCGUAGCUAAGUUUGGAAAGGAUAAACGCUGAAAGCAUCUAAGCGUGAAGCCAACUCUAAGAUGAAUCUUCUCUAAGCUCUCUAGAAGACUACUAGUUUGAUAGGCUGGGUGUGUAAUGGAUGAAAGUCCUUUAGCUGACCAGUACUAAUAGAGCGUUUGGCUUAUCUUUAAUAAAGCAU